rnacentral:rRNA from 1 species
CCUACGGGAGGCAGCAGUGAGGAAUAUUGGUCAAUGGGCGCGAGCCUGAACCAGCCAAGUCGCGUGAGUGAAGACGGUCCUAUGGACUGUAAACCUCUUUUGUCGGGGAGCAAAAGACGCCACGCGUGGCGUUCCGAGAGUACCCGAAGAAAAAGCAUCGGCUCACUCCGUGCCAGCAGCCGCGGUAAUACGGGGGAUGCGAGCGUUAGCCGGAUUGAUUGGGUUUAAAGGGUGCGCAGGCGGAAGAUCAAGUCAGCGGUAAAAUUGAGAGGCUCAACCUCUCCGAGCCGUUGAAACUGGUUUUCUUGAGUGAGUGAGAAGUAUGCGGAAUGCGUGGUGUAGCGGUGAAAUGCAUAGAUAUCACGCAGAACUCCGAUUGCGAAGGCAGCAUACCGGCGCUCAACUGACGCUCAUGCACGAAAGUGUGGGUAUCGAACAGGAUUAGAUACCCCAGUAGUC